rnacentral:rRNA from 1 species
AACGAACGCUGGCGGCAGGCUUAACACAUGCAAGUCGAACGGUUGUAGCAAUACAGCAGUGGCGCACGGGUGAGUAACGCGUGGAUAUCUGCCUUUUGGUUCGGAAUAACUCCGGGAAACUGGAGCUAAUACCGGAUGGUUCCUGCGGGAUAAAGAUUUAUCGCCAAAAGAUGAGUCCGCGUACGAUUAGCUAGUUGGUGAGGUAAUGGCUCACCAAGGCGACGAUCGUUAGCUGGUCUGAGAGGACGAUCAGCCACACUGGGACUGAGACACGGCCCAGACUCCUACGGGAGGCAGCAGUGGGGAAUAUUGGACAAUGGGGGCAACCCUGAUCCAGCCAUGCCGCGUGAGUGAUGAAGGCCUUCGGGUUGUAAAGCUCUUUGGUCGGGGACGAUGAUGACGGUACCCGCACGAAUAAGCCCGGCUAACUUCGUGCCAG